rnacentral:rRNA from 1 species
GACGAACGCUGGCGGCGUGCUUAACACAUGCAAGUCGAACGGAAAGGCCCUUCGGGGUACUCGAGUGGCGAACGGGUGAGUAACACGUGGGUAACCUGCCCCCUGCUUCGGGAUAACUCCGGGAAACCGGGGCUAAUACCGGAUAUUCAUUGCGCAUCGCAUGGUGUGUGGUGGAAAGUUUUUCGGCUGGGGAUGGGCCCGCGGCCUAUCAGCUUGUUGGUGGGGUGAUGGCCUACCAAGGCUUCGACGGGUAGCCGGCCUGAGAGGGCGACCGGCCACACUGGGACUGAGACACGGCCCAGACUCCUACGGGAGGCAGCAGUGGGGAAUAUUGCGCAAUGGGCGAAAGCCUGACGCAGCCAUGCCGCGUGAGUGAUGAAGGCCCUCGGGUCGUAAAGCUCUGUCGGGAGGGACGAAGGGUGGCGAACACUCUGACGGUACCUCGCAAGAAAGCACCGGCUAACUCCGUGCCAGCAGCCGCGGUAAU